GAUGAAGAACGCAGCGAAAUGCGAUAAGUAGUGUGAAUUGCAGAAUUCAGUGAAUCAUCGAAUCUUUGAACGCACAUUGCGCCCCUUGGUAUUCCAUGGGGCAUGCCUGUUCGAGCGUCAUUUGUACCCUCAAGCUUUGCUUGGUGUUGGGCGUCUUGUCGUAUUACGACUCGCCUUAAAUACAUUGGCAGCCGGCACUUUGGCCUAGGAGCGCAGCACAUUUUGCGAUCGUAGCCCGUUGUACUGGCGUCCAUCAAGAACAUUUACCACGUUUGACCUCGGAUCAGGUAGGGGUACCCGCUGAACUUAAGCAUAUCAAUAAGCGGAGGA
rnacentral:misc_RNA from 1 species